GGGACCUUCCUGGCACCGGGGACCACCGGACAUCCCGCGGUGCCGGCCGCGUCCCCUCCGGAUCCCCCAGCGCCAGCUCCGCCGAGGCCGCCCGCGGUCGCCGCCACCGCAGCCCCGGCCGACUCGGCGCCCCCAGGGACGUGGCGCAGCGAGUCGAAGAGCGCGGCCAAGCUCCGGCUUUGCAGGCUGGCGGCCGCCGCAGCUUGCGACGCCUCCCGCCGGGGGGCCGCCUUGCCGUACUUGCGGUGGUUCACCUUCCUCUUCGACUUGCCCGGCUUGUCCAACGCCAGCUUGAUGUUGCUGGACGCCGAGUCGAUGAAGCUGAGCAGGUCGCGGGUGGCCUCGCGCACGUCCCCGCCCUCGGCACCCGCCAGCAGCGCUCCGGCCGGAGUCCCGGUUUCCUCGUCCUCGAAACAGCAGCCCUUGUCCAGGGCUCCGAAGGCGCCCCCCAGCCCAUCCGGGGAGCCCCCGAAGCCGAAGGGGACGAAUGGAUGCGUGCUGAGGAGCGCCGCCUGGACUGCCAUCCCCGCGGCUCCUCGGCAGCCCGCACCGCGGCCCACACCUCCGCCCGUGCGCCCCCGACCGGUUUCCGCCCGCGGCCCAGGCCCGGCUCCCGCCCUGGCGCGGUGCGAGCAGCGCAGCCUCCUUGCUCGGGGCCGGGCUCGCUGGUCGGCCUCCCGGGGGAGCUCAUUAGGUCUUGUAAGCGAGGGGCGGAGGGAGGGAGCGCAAGGCGACCGCCCCGGUGGCGAAGGGGAGGGGCUUAUUUAGCUGGGCUAAGCUGGAAGUGGGGGGGGGGGUCACUUUUCCAGCUUUCUAGGCUUUCUCAGACUCAUCACCUUAACCCCUUAGUUUCCCUUCACCCCUUGCAUUUUUCUUGGCCAGCUCCAACUGCAAGACUUGAGGAUCCUCAAGUCCAGCUCCUGCAUAACCACGCCCUGGCGAGGGGUACUCUCCUGGAGGCUAAGGCAAGUGUCCAGACACGUGAGUUUCAGUACCAGCUCUGGUAACAGUAAUAGCCAUCAGCUGCUGGGCACUUGCUCAUGCUAGGCACUGUCCACGUACUCAUCAUUGAAUCUUUGAACAAUAGUCCUAUAAACUACGUCUUAUUAUCACCAUACAACAAAACAGGAGACUGAGCCUAAGAGAGUUUCAGUGUGUUGGCCAGAGGCUAUAUCCAGACCAGUCUGACCCCAAAGCCAUUCCUAAGCCCUUGACAAAACUGAAGUUCUCUCUUGGCCGUGGAUUCCUCACCUAUCCGAUGGGGAAGGAAACUAAUGUCUCUCUUCAAGUUCUAGCCCUGCUCCUAAGAUUCCAAACCGAGUUUCUGCAGGACUCUCAACUCUGGUGCUCCUUCUUCUAACCCUUAAUUGUUAGAGCAAAUCCGAGCCAGCACUUGACCCAUCCUUUAUUAACAGCAGAUAGACAGCAGGAGGCAAGAGAGAAAGUUGCUCCCACUAAGCUAGCUGGUGAGAGAGACAGCAGAGCAAGAGAGCGAGAGAAAAAGUCUCAGCAUCUUGGGACAAAAUAUGGAUUGGAAACUCUCCCCUACCUAUCAUGCCAUUUAGGUUGAUCUUUUGGAACUUUUAUUGCAUUUCAGGAAUCACCCUGAAGUUCAACCCAGUUUCACCUGGGUAAGCUUCUUGGGAUAGAGAAAAUGAACAACGGCAGAGGUAGAAGAUGAUUUCAGAAAAGACUUGGUCUCUGGUCUUAGCCUCACCACUCAGUAGCUCUGUGAUGGGUUGAAAUCUUUGAUGAGUACAUAGCUUUGGGCAAGCCAGCUGACCUCUCUCUGCCUUAGCUUACUCAGGCUAAAUGCAGGUAAGUGGCCCACCUGACAGGGCACUUGCAAAACAUCUUAUGAAAAAUCCUUAUCUGUUGGCUGUACUAUAGCCUGUGAUGAGUAUUUGCUCUUAUUUCUCUAAAACACAAAAAGGUGACUAUGUUUCCUUAUAUGAACACCUAAUAUGUAUGAACACCUCAAUCAGAGUGUUCAUGGGGAUUAAGUGAAGUCACAUAUAUGAAGGUACUAUGUGUGAUAGAGUUUUCUGUAAGUUAUUAUAGUUUAAGUGCAGAGUCUACUCAGGGAAGCUAUAGACCAUCCCUUUCAAAACUCUUUUCUUUAAGCCUCACUUUUCAGGAUGUGGCAAAACCAUUUUUGAGCAGCCUUACCAAAGACGAAGGUGCCCUAUGAACACUUUAUCUGGGAGAUGAAGUACUUUUCCCAAGCUAACAUGGCUGAAACACGCUUGUAAAAAACAAACAAACAAACAAACAAAAAACCCUUAGGUUGGCUCAAUUAUAAUAUACCUUUCAUUUGAGUUACACACAGGAUUUUAUCUUGCAUGAUAGGACUAUUUUAUUGCUGAUGACCGUGCACUCAGAAAACUGUGUGGGCCUGUCACCAGGUUGUGCUUCUCACACCCCGCCCCCUGCCCCACCACCCUUGGAUGUGAAUGCCAGCACUUCCCUUUUGAUUUUGGCAGGAUCAUUCCAUUGACCUCCGGGUCUGGCAGCCAAGAGCACUAACUAUUUUUUUUUUUUUUUAACCAUCUUUCAACUGAGCAACUCUUACAGACCCCCAGACGGAGACUGCUGAGAACAAUACAUUUAAUUGACAUCUUUAGUCUGAAAAAAAUCUCUUAAUCCCCAGAGAGUUAGCUAAGUCCUCAAGUAAUCAUAUUCAAAAUAAAUGGAAUAUGAAAAGACUUAUAGGUAAAGUCUCUUUACUUACACAUCAUUGGAGCUCUGAGCAUCAAAGAUGAUUGGGAGUUAGAUGAAGACAGAUUCAAAUUCUGGUGAGUGCCCUUAGACAAGUCAGCCUAUCUUCCUAAGGCUCAGUUUCCUCAUCUGAAAAAUGAGAAUGGUCCCAACUGUUCUCAGAGUCUUUGUGAGAAUUAUAUAACCUCACAAACAAAUAAUAGCUCCAAGUCCUAUUUGAUUUAUCUGUGCAAUGGAGAGCGUCUCAACUCCUCAGGGUUGUUGUGAGAUGGUAUAUACGACAGCUCCUGGCACAAAGUACCAGCUCAACAAAUGUCCAUGUCUUUGAUUCCUUAGGCUCCAUUAAUUUCUUACCAACACAUCACCCUAUAAAAUCAGCAUCAUUUGUUCUUUCCCUCAGCAAAGUGAGUGACUAUUUUCAAAUGCAAGAGAGCAGUAAUAUUUACAGGUUGUAGAAACUAAGAAAAAAGCAGUGUAAGAGUAUAGAGAGAGUGCUGAAAUUAGAACCAUGGAUUGAGAUGGAGUCCAAUAUACCCUUUCAUUAUCCAACUGACUAUAAAAAUUAACUUAAUCCCCUGUACCUCAAUAGUUCCAUCUAUAGAAUGGUAAUAAUCAUUAAUCUAUUUGAUAAGGCUAUUGUGAUACUCAGUGAAAUAAUGGAAAUGGAAGUCCUUUGUCAACCAUAAAGAUCUAUAUACAAAUAUAUUUCACAGCUUAGAAGUUCUACAGCCUGAUUCACAAAAGUGACCCUUACACAUAAAAUAUCCAUCCAAUCACUUACUUAUUCAACCAAAAGAUCCUGACACCAACAAUGUGCUCAGCACUGUGCUAAUACUGAGGAUAGAGAUAAGAAGCCAUUUUUCCUACCCUUUCUGGUGGAAAGAGAUGCAUGCAAACAAGCCACUGUAAUAUAAGGUGCUACUUCUCAAUGGAAGCAAAUUAAAGGUACAAUAGCCGAUGGGAUAAAACACUUUCACAUUCCCCAGAGGAAUUGGGGGACCCUGUAUAAACAGGUACCAUCUGAGCUAAGAUUCAAAUGAAACAUUUGAGUUUGCCAAGAAAACAAACAAUAUCUCUGGUAACAAUCAGGCAGAGGUAUGGUCAAAUGAAAGCUCUGGUGUUUAUGGAAAACUAUAGACAAGAAGGCAACAAAGAGAGAGUUCCCAUCAUGGCUCAUCGGAAAUGAAUCUGACUAGCAUCCAUGAGGACACAAGUUCAAUCCCUGGCCUUGCUCAGCAGGUUAAGGAUCUGGCAUUGCCAUGAGCUGUGGUGUAGGUAGCAAACGGGGCUCAGAUCCCACGUUGCUGUGGCUGUAGUGCAGGCCAGCAGCUAAGCUCUCAUUCGACCCCUAGUCUGGAAACCUCCAUAUGCCGCAGGUGCAGCCCUGAAAUAGGACAAAACAAAAAACAACAACAAAAAAAGGGCAACAAAGAACUUCCGCUUGAAAUAGCUCUAUACCUGAGACUAAAACAAAUCCUUGGCGCUUCCAAUAUGCAGCUAAAUGGCACAUGUGGGCCCCAGCUCAUGGUCUCAGCUGCUUUUCCCCUUUCCUUUGGGGAAAGAUCUCCGUCUCAGAUGAAUUGAGUUUCAGCAGUCAGUAGCCUGCUCCUGGCAGCCCAUCAGCCCCUCCUCCUACACCCUGAAUGAGCAAGCUCGUUUGACUAGCUUUGACAUCAAUCCAUUCCACUUCCUAUGGGGCGGAGGAACCCAGCUCCAGCCUGCACUAGGGCCUCUCUGCAGAUCUCCAAGCUAGAGCUCUUUUGCUCCACUGAUACCUAAUGCUGAGCAAGUAGGAUUAGUCUCCUUGGGAACCAAGCCCCCCAGGGACUCAAGGGCUGAACUCGCCCCAAACCAUUUGGGAGAAUUGAGAUUUCAUAUUGUUCUUUUACACUUGGAUUUCGGGACAUUACUUAGACAAAAGCCCACCUGAGAGCUGCCUCCUUUCUUGUGGGUAAAUAUAGCAGCAGGAUCAAAAGCUGACUUACUUAUUUUGUUUUCCUCUUUGUAACUUUAAUCAUACUCCCUGCAGGACAAUCUUAGUUCUCAGAGAUGUCAGGAAUGCACAUUCAUAAAAGGAAAAAUAAUUAUGCAUCAUUUUCUCUCUCUUUCUUCUCAUGCCAAUUGCUUGUCAUUCACUAUCUUUGAAAUCUCAAAUAACACAAAUCGAUUCC
rnacentral:lncRNA from 1 species